CUUCUGAAUGGUGAUUAGAGACAGAGAGGAUAUUGAAGGGCAGAAGUGGUGGCAUGACCAUUUUUCUCUCUAUAAAAGUAGAUCUUUCCUGGCUCCUGAGCUUAAAAGCAGCCAGUGUUUGUAGUUUGUGCUCAGAGAGGGGAUUAAGCCUUUGACAGUAGAUAGGAUGGUGAUGAGCUUAUAAAGGAAGUUACCAUGUGGAGGAUCCCUAUAAGGCCAGUGCAGGAUCCAAGGUGUUCUUAGAUUUAUGCCCCUAAUAUAUUGAAAUGGGUGAGCAAGGUGAAUGUGAAAUUUUAAAUUCAAAUAUAGCAAACAUGGAUUGGAUAACUACUAUGUGCCAGGUACUGUGCUGGGUGAAAUUAAGAUACAUUGCUUGCCCUCACAGAAGAAGUGAAGACAUAGAUAAGUGAAAAAAUAAAUGCCUUCAGUGGAAUAAUUGCUAGUGUGGAGAAUACACCCAUUCUAAAUGUACCUCUGCCCUCCUACUCCACUAAGACCAUUUUUGUCAGGUUUGCCAGUAAUCUCCAUGAGGCCAAACCAAAUAGCUACAACAUUGUUCUCAUCAUACUCAGUUUGUGUGUAGCAUCUGACACAGUUGACUAACUCCUCCUUCUUGAAACACUUUAUUCUCUUGGCUUUCAGGACACCAGAUUUUCCUUUAAUCUCACCAGAUAAUCCAUCUCAGUCUUCUCUCCUGUUUUUUCUUCUCUUCCCAACUUUACAUGUUAGAAGGUCCCAGAGCUUUUUUCUUAGUCCUGUUCUCUGAUCAUGUUCUUUUCCUGUAUGAUCUCAUUAAGUUUCAUGGUUUUACAUAUCAUUUAAAUGCUAAAGAUGAUUUUCAAAUUUAUCUAAGAUUGAUAUCCUGCCUCUUUUGUCAUAUCAAAAUUCCUGCUCAACAGUUCUCCUUGGAUGACUCAUGGGCAUCUCAGUUUACACUGUGGAAAACAUAACUUGAUGCCCAACUCUUUCUUAACCUAUUCCUACUCUGGUCUCCCCCAUCUAAGUAACUGGCAGCAGCAGUCAUCCAGUUGUUAAGGUCAAGAACUUUGGAAUCAUCCUUGGUUACUCCUUUCCCCUUUUCCUUCAUAUUGAAUCCAUUAGCAAUUCUUGUCAGCUCUACAUGCACAUUAUAUGCUAACUUCUACUACUGCCCACUGCUUCUGUCACUGUGAGCCACUAUUAUCUCUUACCUGGUACCAUUGCUUGCCUUCUUCCUUGCCUAUAAUUCAUUCUCCCUGGCAACCAGUAACAUGUACAUCCUUUAAAAUAUGGAAAUCAGGAUUCUGCAAGCUUCCCAAGCACACAUCAGCAGCUGGCUCCCUUGCUGUCUGAAACGUGGACCUCUCUCCAUUUCCAAAAUGUUGCUUUCUAACAAGCUGACACUGGACAAGCUGGACGUGAAAGGGACGCGGGUCAUUAUGAGAGUCGACUUCAAUUUCCUAUGUAGAACAACCAGAUAACAAACAACCAGAGGAUUAAGGCUGCUGUCUUAAGCAUCAAAUUCUGCUUGGACAAUGGAGCCAAGUCAGUAGUCCUUACGAGUCACCUAGGCCGGCCUGAUGGUGUCCCUGUGCCUGACAAGUACUCCUUAGAGCCAGUUGCUGUAGAACUCAAAUCUCUGCUGGGAAAGGAUGUUCUGUUGUUGAAGGACUGUGUAGGCCCAGAAGUGGAGAAAGCCUGUGCAAACCCAGCUGCUGGGUCUGUCAUCCUGCUGGAGAACCUCCGCUUUCAUGUGGAAGAAGAAGGGAAGGGAAAACUCUGGGAACAAGGUUAAAGUGAGUCAGCCAAAAUAGAAGCUUUCCGAGCUUCACUUUCCAAGCUAGGGGAUGUGUAUGUCAAUUAUGCUUUUAUCACUGCUCACAGAGCCCACAGCUCUAUGGUAGGAGUCAAUCUGCCUCAGAAGGCUGGUGGUUUUUUGAUAAAGAAAAAACUACUUUGCCAAGGUCUUGAAGAGCCCAUAGUGACCCUUCCUGGCCAUCGUGGGUGGAGCUAAUGUUGCAGACAAGAUCCACCUGAUCAGUAAUAUGCUGGACAAAGUCAAUGAGAUGAUUAUUGGUGGUGGAAUGGCUUUUACCUUCCUUAAGGUGCUCAACAACAUGGAUAUUGGCACUUCUCUGUUUGAUGAAGAGGGAGCUAAGAUUGUCAAAGACCUAAUGUCCCAAGCUGAGAAGAAUGGUGUGAAGAUUACCUUGCCUGUUGACUUUGUCACUACUGACAAGUUUGAUGAGAAUGCCAAGACUGGCCAAGCCACUGUGGCUUCUGGCAUACCUGCUGGCUGGAUGGGCUUGGAUUGUGGUCCUGAAAGCAGCAAGAAGUAUGCUGAGACUGUUACUCGGGCUAAGCAGACUGAGCGAGGGGGGAGGUAUUUGAAUGGGAAGCUUUUGCCCGGGGAACCAAAGCCCUCAUGGAUGAGGUGGUGAAAGCCACUUCUAGGGGCUGCAUUAGCAUCAUAGGUGGUGGAGACACUGCCACUUGCUGUGCCAAAUGGAACACAAAGGAUAAAAUCAGGCAUGUGAGCACUAGGGGUGGUGCCAGUUUAGAGCUCCUGGAAGGUAAAGUCCUUCCUGGGGUGGAUGCUCUGGGCAAUAUUUAGUACUUUCCUGCCUUUUAGUUCUUGUGCACAGCCCCUAUGUCAACUUAGCAUUUUCUGCAUCUCCACUUGGCAUUAGCUAAAACCUUCCAUGUCAAGGUUCAGCUGGUGGCCAAGAGAUGCAGUGCCCAGGAACCCUUAAACAGUUGCACAGCAUCUCAGCUCAUCUUUACUGUACCCUGGAUUUGCCUACAUUCUUCAAGAUCCCAUUUGAAUUUCUUAGUGACUAAACAUUGUGCGUUCUAGAGUACAUAUAUUUAUAUUUUGCCUGUUAAAAAAAGUGAGCUGUGUUAGCUUAGUUCUCUUUUGAUGUAGGUUAUUAUGAUUAGCUUUGUCACUGUUUCACUACUCAGCAUGGAAACAAGAUGAAAUUCCAUUUGUAGGUAGGGAGACAAAAUUGAUGAUCCAUUAAAUAAACAAUAAAAGUGUCCACUGAAACCAUGAAAAAAA